UGCCAGCAGCCGCGGUAAUACGAAAGGCCCGAGCGUUGCGCGGAAUCACUGGGCUUAAAGCGUACGUAGGCGGACCAGCAGGCAUCUUGUGAAAUCCCACGGCUCAACCGUGGAACUGCUCGAUGAACCUCUGGUCUUGAGGCGGGUAGGGGUUGUCGGAACGAUAGGUGGAGUGGUGAAAUGCGUUGAUAUCUAUCGGAACACCAAAGGAGAAAUCAGACAACUGGGCCUGACCUGACGCUGAGGUACGAAAGCGUGGGGAGCGAACGGGAUUAGAUA
rnacentral:rRNA from 1 species